GCUGGGAUAGUUCUGUUGGUAGAGCAUGAGACUCUUAAUCUCUGGGUUAUGGGUUCAAGCCCCACAUUUGGCA